ACCAAACAAGAAUCUAACCAAAACCAAACGACCCCUUCUUCUUCAACCAAAAGGAGACCUAACCAAAAUCACCAUCACUGCCGAUUCCACCAAAGGACCAGCGAAAAAAAGCCGAUUUCGACAUCGCUGACAUCAUCUCCCAUCAACCCCAAUCCCUUUUCAAGCAACAGAGCUUCGAACAGCUCGUCCAAGUCGAAUCAUCCCCCCAAAUCGAGAAGCACGCAAGGAUCUUUGGGUUUCUAGGCCGAUCUUCCAACAAUCCAUAGGGUAAAGGCUCGUUUCAGUCCGUUAGAGCCUAAAACCAUGAAGAAUCCACUAAAUUCGGAGUCCCAACGAAUUUGUAGCUUUCAAAUCCAUCUGAAAAGCAAGGAUUGCUUUAAGCGGAUUCGGAGACUCGAUGACGACACUAGCCUCAGUUCGCUGUCCCGGAAAAGGUUAGUGGUUGCCCUUACUUUACUUUUGUUUUCGGUCGUUAAGAGUAUAUAUCGAUGUAGCUGUUAAAUAAGUAUUCACAGUUUUGCCUAUUUGAGCUUGUUUUGCUGCUGUGUGUCUGAAUCCGCACAUAAAAGAUAACUAAGAAUACAUUAAGGAACUAUCGAUUAAAGUGUAGAAUAUGGGGAUGACUGUGUUGCUUGUUUGAAUGUCAUUUUAAAUGCUUGUUAGAUGAGUGGUUCUACAUAAUCUGUAUGAUAAAGAAGAUGCUUAGGUUAUGUGUUUGAAACUGUUCUUUAAGCCUUCCUCCAUCUUAAAGUUUGAGACUUAAAUGAAUAUGGAAAUUCUAGCGUAAGUUGAUAACUGUUUGCAGCUGAAUAUAACUGGCUACACCUCUAUCUUUGUUGUAGGAUUUUAUGUAUUCCAUGAACCAGUUCUCUAGCCUUACUUUUUUUUUUUAAAAUUAACUGAUGUAGAGGUUUGAAAAACAAAGGGUUGUUUGGCAACCCUUUGGCUCCCACUUUGUAUGUUUAAAAUUCUGUCUUUAAAUUCGUAGAAUAAAAUGUAGUCGUUCUAUUAUUUUUAUUGCCUAGUCAGAUUCUUCUUGUGUUAAUCCGUUGGUUCUCUAUUGGUUAUGAUUUAGUAUAAUGAAUUAACCACACUUAAGGAGAACACCUAUUAAUUCGUGGAAAAAUGUGAACGGUUAUGUCGAUCAUUUACCUUCCUGUUUUUGCCAUUUUUAACAUGUAAAAGGUUAAUGAGAGUCGAGGCACUACAUAUAAAACCAUUGCUUUUUUUGUGAAGAAUGAAUUCUGAUUUGUUGCCGGAUUAGAUGAUUGACUCGUUUAAUGGCCUUACAGACUAUUUUUUUCAGUCUUGAGAGAUUGUUUCGCCAUGUCCUACACUAAGAAAAAAUCACUAUAAAAGAUGUCAUUAAUAAUGAUGAUUAUAUAUGUCCUAGAUUAGGUGUCCCUAUGUCUACAUUAAGUGACUCGUUUCUUCAAAGAUAGUGUCUAUGUUUAAACUAUGGUUUUCCUACAUCUGGUUCUAAAAUUCGACCUUAAUUCAUGUAUGUUUAGUUUGAGUCUAGUUUAAUUCUACUUGUUGAGAUUGCACUUUCUUCUUUAAAUCUCCGCAGUGUUUCCUCUUUCUCUCUUCAUUUUAUACAUAUCCAACUAUGUGGAAGCUUAAAGGAUUUUUUCUUUUUCUUUUUGGUUAUUGUUCUGCAUUAGCUGCACAGUGUGUUGAGUCAAGUCAGUGCAUGACCCGUAUCCUGCUUUAGUUGGUAAAAAUGAAGACGUAGCCAUGUCAAGUUGUUCUUGUUAUUCGUUUAAAUUUCUGUUUUAAGUACAUACCAGAAUUUGUAUGCUUAAUUAUCUCCUCAUAAAAAAUCAUGUUUAUUGGGACUGCAUUUUGUCUAAGUUAAUGUAGUGAAUGUAUUGUUGUUUGGAAAAGGAAAAAAAAAGACUAAUAAUAGGUACUAGUUAAGUUUUUUUUUUUUUUUCCACUGAUUUCGUUUUCUUCAAACCUGUUUCAUCUUAAUCUUUUCUGAAGAACUGCUUAUGCUUGCCUGAAAGAGUAUCGCGAUUUUAUUAUGGAUUAAACUUAUUGGUUGCUGAUAAGGUUGAUUCGCUGUUUCUAGUCCUCAGUUGAUUCUGCCAAGUAGAAUAAUUGGAACCUAUUUGAGUAAUUGAGUAGUAUGGUUGUAGUUUUCAGUUAUUGGGAUAUUAAUCUAGCGAACAUGCAUGUCCACACAUAAGUAAUUGCUUUGUUUUGCCUGUUUGGAAACUGUCUAUUAAUGUGUUUACUUGAAAAGAACUAGAAAUCAUGACAGCGAAUUACAUUGUUUUCUUAUAUCAUGAAUGAAAUAUUAAGUUAACAUAGUCCCUCUGUGAUAUCUCUUGUUAACACCUCUAAGGAGAUUUAAUUUUAGGAAUUGGGGAACUCUUAAGUUUGUCUCCUAAAAAAAAUAAAAAAAUAAAAAAAAAUGGCAAACUCCUAUCUUUUUGUUUAAUGGAAUAUUACCUAAAACUUGUGUUUCCUUCCAGAAAUUUUAGCCUUUAUAAAGAAGUGGUAUAUCUAUUUCAUAAUAAUAUGAACAACAAUUUUAUUCCUGUUGACAUCUCUUCUCGGUUGGGACUGUUGUAUAACACCUGAAGGAAAUCAAUUUCCAUACCCGUUUUGAGACUAGAUUCUAUUGGUAAUUUGGAUUUCUUUAUGGAUUAUUAUGGCCAAGUUUCCUAAAACUAGUAAGAGUAUACUUGUAUCUUGAUUACUUGUGCACCCCGUUUCUUUUAAAAAGGAUAUGAGUUGAUUGGAGUGUUCAACUUCGCUCUUAGAAUACUUAAGAAAACUGAAUUUGUUUUCUCCUUUUUUUACUUUGAUGGCUUGACCUUUUGAAUUCAAGAAUAUUGGGAAUUGAAAUAAAACCCAGGAGCAACUGGUUGUUGCGUCCAAGUUUCUUGUGUUAAAUAUGAGCUUAGCUUGACUUCCUAUUUGAAAUUUGAAUAAGUAGUAUGUUACCCGUCUCCGAAGUGCUAUUUUGGGAAUAUGAGAGUAAUGUUUUGGAACUUAAAUAAACCUUAAUUUAUCCAAAGGUUUUACUGCACACCUAGUUGGAAAGUUUAACAGAAGCAUUCGAAUGUUGAGUAAUAAUUGGGGCUACAUUGACCUUCUCUUAAAAUGUGUUGUCUUUUUUUUUUUUUUUUGGGAACCUGAUUGAGGGACCUUGCCUAUGUGAUUAUGUUAUCUAGUUUUCUAUUGGUUAAAGUUAUAUCAACUUCUUCUUAUUAAAAACUUCUCCUAAUCCUUGUCUCUUCUUUCUUUUGCAUGAACACACUUGGGAGAAUAUUGGAGUUAUGGUAACUCCAAGUUCAGCCCGGAGUUAGGAGUAAACAUUCAAAGCGGUUUCAUUCGAAUUUACGAGUUCAAGAAGUAGACGUUGGACGGUUAGAUACACUUCAAGGUAGACAGACAGGCGGUCUAGCUCAGUAGGACUUCUACUCAGCAGUAGUUGGUGCGCUCCACUUGUUCCGGAGCUGCAGUCUAUUUUUGGUAUGCCAUCUUGAUAUGUAUAUGCAUAUAUGGGUAUAGCGGGGUCCUGUCCCAUCCUUUCUACAGUUUUCUAUUCCAUUAAAGGUCUGUAGACAGUUGUAUGUAGUUGGUACGUUAUGUAGCCUUGUCGGUUCUCAUUCUUUCCUUUGUACAGCAUAUGUAGCAGCCUGUUCGGCUUGCACUGUUCCUUUCAGUAUAUAUAUGCAUAGAUGGUUGAUAGUUGUCGAUGCAUAUCUCUGAGUGUUGUUCU